rnacentral:lncRNA from 1 species
ACUCUACAACCACGGAUCUUAGCUAACUGUCCAGCACUCAUACCAACCGCACCGGAGGCAGCAGAUAUGAACACAUUGGAGCCGGGUUUCGGGUCUCCCAGAACCACUAUUCCCACCCAUGCCGCAAACCCUGGUACUCCUGCACGCAUAAUCACAUUCAAUAAUUUGUAAUAAUUCCUAGGUGCUUCCUCAAUUGCGUUUCUGAUUUUCAUUAAGCAUAAAUACCUAAGGCACUUAGAUAAUCCGGCAACGAAAUUCCACUAGCAGAGUCAAUUUUCCGAAGUAUACUCGAGGAAGGAACGAUACAGUACUCAGCCACCGGAGCAGAAGGGGCUAAGACUAGAUCGCCCUCCCU